GAUGAACGCUGGCGGCGUGCCUAAUACAUGCAAGUCGAGCGAGUGGAUUAAGAGCUUGCUCUUAUGAAGUUAGCGGCGGACGGGUGAGUAACACGUGGGUAACCUGCCCAUAAGACUGGGAUAACUCCGGGAAACCGGGGCUAAUACCGGAUAACAUUUUGAACCGCAUGGUUCGAAAUUGAAAGGCGGCUUCGGCUGUCACUUAUGGAUGGACCCGCGUCGCAUUAGCUAGUUGGUGAGGUAACGGCUCACCAAGGCAACGAUGCGUAGCCGACCUGAGAGGGUGAUCGGCCACACUGGGACUGAGACACGGCCCAGACUCCUACGGGAGGCAGCAGUAGGGAAUCCUCCGCAAUGGACGAAAGUCUGACGGAGCAACGCCGCGUGAGUGAUGAAGGCUUUCGGGUCGUAAAACUCUGUUGUUAGGGAAGAACAAGUGCUAGUUGAAUAAGCUGGCACCUUGACGGUACCUAACCAGAAAGCCACGGCUAACUACGUGCCAGCAGCCGCUGUAA
rnacentral:rRNA from 1 species